rnacentral:misc_RNA from 1 species
UAUACAUCAACUUUUCAUAAUCUGCCAAAGCAACAAAGGGAGCAUAAAAGAGAACUGUAAACAAGGAUUCACAGAAGAAAGAAAAAGAAAAGAAAUAAGUUGGAGAUAUCUCCAACCUUCAAUCUCUAGUUCCCAUGAUUUCUUUAGCAGAUGUAUAUCAUGUGGUGGCUGCCACAGUUCCAUUGUAUUUUGCCAUGAUAUUGGCCUACAUCUCUAUGAAAUGGUGGAGGCUUUUUACACCAGAUCAGUGUGCAGGCAUAAACAAAUUUGUUGCUAAAUUUUCAAUCCCACUAUUAUCUUUCCAUGUUAUUUCCAGCAACAAUCCCUACAAAAUGAACCUGAAACUCAUAGUAGCCGACUUUCUUCAGAAACUAUUAGCCCUCCUAGUACUGACAGCACUCACCAAAAUCAGCUCCAGAGGAAGGUUGAAUUGGAUAAUCACUGGUCUUUCUCUGUCAACAUUGCCCAAUACUUUGAUCCUGGGAAUUCCACUUUUGAAGGCUAUGUAUGGGGUUGAAGCUGAGGGACUCCUUUCCCAGAUAAUUGUCUUACAAAGCUUAAUUUGGUAUAAUUUGUUGUUGUUUCUCUUUGAGCUAAAUGCUACCUAUGCAGCUCCAGUAACACCAUCUUCAGAAAUUACUGAGGACCAGGAGGCCCCUCAAGAUGCCCAAUCAAAAGAGGGAGAAGAGGAAACACAUACCAGAACAACAAGAAGAGUUAAGACCAUGCUCAUUCUCUUGACAGUGGGGAGGAAGCUAUUGAGAAAUCCCAAUUUUCAUGCUACUUUGUUGGGUCUUAUUUGGGCAAGCAUACGCUUUAGGUGGGGAGUGAAAAUGCCAGAAAUUCUUGAUAAUUCUAUAAUGAUAUUGUCUAAUGGAGGGCUUGGUAUGGCAAUGUUCAGCUUAGGUCUGUUCAUGGCAUCACGCACCAGUAUAAUAGCGUGUGGCAUCCGAAUGGCAGUGCUAGCUAUGGCAGUGAAGUUCAUUGCAGGGCCUGCCCUAAUGGUAGUUGCUUCCCUAGCCACUACACUGAGGGGCACAGUGUUUAAAGUGGCAAUUGUUCAGGUACAUGAAUUUUGUUUCUUUUAAUCAGCACCUCAGGAGUCAUAAAAGGUUAAACAAUGGUUGUCUACUGCAGGCAGCUCUACCUCAAGGGAUUGUUCCAUUUGUGUUUUCUAAAGAAUAUAAUAUUCAUCCAGAUAUAUUAAGCACAGGGGUAAUUUUUGGUAUGCUCAUUGCAUUGCCAAUAGCAUUGGCCUACUACUCCCUUUUAGCAUUGUGAAAUCCUACAGAAACAAAGCAGCAAAACACCAGAAGAAGCCAUUUGAAGUCGAAGAAAGCUCGAAUUGUUGAAGAAGAACUUUAGAAGUCUCACUCAGUUUUCUUCCAAUUUUUGGACAGUUUGUUCAAUUUCCUUUGACAUGCUAAUGUGAUAUGACAGAUUUUUUUUGUUUCCUUCAUUCUCAUGAAAACAGAAAUGUAUCUAUCAGAAAAAUUAACAAGCUAAUGCAAUAAUGGAAUAGUCAUCAGUUAUGAGUAAACAUCUUUCAUUUGUGAUAAUGGAA